AACAUUCCGACAAAGAGAAAAUUGUUUUAAUUUUGGUUUCCUUUUUUUAAGUCACUAUGUCCAUUGAAAACCAUGACAGCAUCAUGUUUUAUAGAAGUAUUAGUAAGGGAAAAAAACAUAGUUUAGUUUAAAAUACCCAGCCUAUUUGAAUGAGUGAUUAAAAAGAAAAAAAAAGGAAAAAAAAAUGAUGGCUGUUCAAAAUGUCCUUUUCUU